rnacentral:rRNA from 1 species
CAUUCACGGAGAGUUUGAUCCUGGCUCAGGACGAACGCUGGCGGCGUGCUUAACACAUGCAAGUCGAACGAUGAACCACUUCGGUGGGGAUUAGUGGCGAACGGGUGAGUAACACGUGGGCAAUCUGCCCUUCACUCUGGGACAAGCCCUGGAAACGGGGUCUAAUACCGGAUAACACCUUCCCUCUCCUGAGGGAGGGUUAAAAGCUCCGGCGGUGAAGGAUGAGCCCGCGGCCUAUCAGCUUGUUGGUGAGGUAAUGGCUCACCAAGGCGACGACGGGUAGCCGGCCUGAGAGGGCGACCGGCCACACUGGGACUGAGACACGGCCCAGACUCCUACGGGAGGCAGCAGUGGGGAAUAUUGCACAAUGGGCGAAAGCCUGAUGCAGCGACGCCGCGUGAGGGAUGACGGCCUUCGGGUUGUAAACCUCUUUCAGCAGGGAAGAAGCGAAAGUGACGGUACCUGCAGAAGAAGCGCCGGCUAACUACGUGCCAGCAGCCGCGGUAAUACGUAGGGCGCAAGCGUUGUCCGGA